GGAGGAAAAGAAACCAACUGGGAUUACCUUAGUAACGGCGAGUGAAGCGGUAAAAGCUCAAAUUUGAAAUCUGGUACUUUCAGUGCCCGAGUUGUAAUUUGUAGAAUUUGUCUUUGAUUAGGUCCUUGUCUAUGUUCCUUGGAACAGGACGUCAUAGAGGGUGAGAAUCCCGUUUGGCGAGGAUACCUUUUCUCUGUAAGACUUUUUCGAAGAGUCGAGUUGUUUGGGAAUGCAGCUCAAAGUGGGUGGUAAAUUCCAUCUAAAGCUAAAUAUUGGCGAGAGACCGAUAGCGAACAAGUACAGUGAUGGAAAGAUGAAAAGAACUUUGAAAAGAGAGUGAAAAAGUACGUGAAAUUGUUGAAAGGGAAGGGCAUUUGAUCAGACAUGGUGUUUUUUGCAUGCACUCGCCUCUCGUGGGCUUGGGCCUCUCAAAAAUUUCACUGGGCCAACAUCAAUUCUGGCAGCAGGAUAAAUCAUUAAGAAUGUAGCUACUUCGGUAGUGUUAUAGCUUUUUGGAAUACUGUUAGCCGGGAUUGAGGACUGCGCUUCGGCAAGGAUGUUGGCAUAAUGGUUAAAUGCCGCCCGUCUG
rnacentral:rRNA from 1 species